AUUGAACGCUGGCGGCGUGCUUAACACAUGCAAGUCGAACGCGAAAGGGACUUCGGUCCUGAGUAAAGUGGCGCACGGGUGAGUAACGCGUGGAUAAUCUGCCCUUAUGAUCGGGAUAACAGUUGGAAACGGCUGCUAAUACCGGAUACGCUCAAAAUGAACUUUUUGAGGAAAGAUGGCCUCUGCUUGCAUGCUAUCACGUAAGGAUGAGUCCGCGUCCCAUUAGCUUGUUGGCGGGGUAACGGCCCACCAAGGCAACGAUGGGUAGCCGAUUUGAGAGGAUGAUCGGCCACACUGGAACUGAAACACGGUCCAGACUCCUACGGGAGGCAGCAGUGGGGAAUAUUGCGCAAUGGGCGAAAGCCUGACGCAGCGACGCCGCGUGAGGGAUGAAAGGUUUUCGGAUCGUAAACCUCUGUCAGAAGGGAAGAAACUACGUUGUGCUAAUCAGCAGCGUACUGACGGUACCUUCAAAGGAAGCACCGGCUAACUCCGUGCCAGCAGCAGC
rnacentral:rRNA from 1 species